rnacentral:rRNA from 1 species
UAAAAACCCCGACUUCGGAAGGGGUGUAUUUAUUAGAUACUAAACCAAUGCCCCUCGGGGCUCUUUGGUGAUUCAUGAUAACUAUACGAAUCGCACGGCCUUGCGCCGGCGAUGGUUCAUUCAAAUUUCUUCCCUAUCAACUUUCGAUGUUUGGGUAUUGGCCAAACAUGGUUGCAACGGGUAACGGAGGGUUAGGGCUCGACCCCGGAGAAGGAGCCUGAGAAACGGCUACUACAUCCAAGGAAGGCAGCAGGCGCGCAAAUUACCCAAUCCCGACUCGGGGAGGUAGUGACAAUAAAUACUGAUACAGGGCCCUUUCAGGCCUUGUAAUUGGAAUGAGUACAAUUUAAAUCCCUUAACGAGGAACAAUUGGAGGGCAAGUCUGGUGCCAGCAGCCGCGGUAAUUCCAGCUCCAAUAGCGUAUAUUAAAGUUGUUGUGGUUAAAAAGCUCGUAGUUGAACCUUGGGCCUGGCUGGCCGGUCCGCCUCACCGCGUGCACUGGUCCGGCCGGGCCUUUCCCUCUGUGGAACCCCAUACCCUUCACUGGGCGUGGCGGGGAAACAGGACAUUUACUUU